UACAUCUUUCUGUAUGGAUUUGCCUAUUUUU
rnacentral:piRNA from 1 species